CCUACGGGUGGCAGCAGUGAGGAAUAUUGGUCAAUGGUCGGGAGACUGAACCAGCCAAGCCGCGUGAGGGAUGAAGGUACAGAGUAUCGUAAACCUCUUUUGUCAGGGAACAAAGGCGGGGACGCGUCCCCGGAUGAGUGUACCUGAAGAAAAAGCAUCGGCUAACUCCGUGCCAGCAGCCGCGGUAAUACGGAGGAUGCGAGCGUUAUCCGGAUUUAUUGGGUUUAAAGGGUGCGCAGGCGGUCUGGUAAGUCAGCGGUAAAAGCCCGGGGCCAACCCCCGGCCCGCCGUUGAAACUGGCAGUCUCGAGUUGGAGAGAAGUAUGCGGAAUGCGCGGUGUAGCGGUGAAAUGCAUAGAUAUCGCGCAGAACUCCGAUUGCGAAGGCAGCAUGCCGGCUCCACACUGACGCUGAGGCACGAAAGCGUGGGUAUCGAACAGGAUUAGAUACCCCAGUAGUC
rnacentral:rRNA from 1 species